rfam:Strongylocentrotus purpuratus Contig59704_fixed, whole genome shotgun sequence.
CCAACAGUCCUUUUCAGGACUACACACACACACUCAAGAAAGAAAG